rnacentral:rRNA from 1 species
CCAAUAGCGUAUAUUAAAGUUGUUGCAGUUAAAAAGCUCGUAGUUGAAUUUCGGGAUCGACGGGUCGGUCGCGCCUCUGGUGUGUACUGGCCCUGUCGGUUUCUCCCUUCUGACGAACCACGAUGUCAUUAAUUUGGUGUCGUGGGAAAUCAGGACUGUUACUUUGAGAAAAUUAGAGUGUUUAAAGCAGGCAUUCGCUU